CUUCUCCUUCUCCUUCUCCUUCUUCCCUUCUAUAAGUAUCGCACCCCCCAAAACUUCUCUCUUUUCUCUCUCCUCUCGCAGAUUACCGUUCGACCCAGAGGGUUUAACUGGGGUUUAAGCCCACCAUCUCUACCUCAAUAUGCUAUAAUUUAAAUCAAGCAAUUUUCUUGCUUUUCCGGAUAGAGGGGCUAAGGCUUGUUCAAGCUGAAGCUGGUCGUUUUUGGAGCACUGUCUUCUGAGCUCAUCUUCUUCGAUGCUCAAAGCCUCAAAGUAGAUCCAAACCCUAGAACUGACCGCAUUUUAUUUGUUACCCAAUGAAAGGUCAUCGAUGAAAUGACUAUUUGUGGGUGGAAUAAGGUGGAUUUUGGAGGAAAUUAUAACAGCGAAUGGUGCAUUUGGAUUUGCAACAUCGAAUGAAGUGAUAUGUGGUGUUGAAUAUGAGCGAUGGAGGUCGGGAGAGUGAAAGAGAGCCUGAAAAACCAGCUCGUCAGAAGAGAGCCGGUGGAGAUGAAUUGGCCCGAGCGGCUUCAAGGCUUGCUGUAGCACAGAUAUGUGAGAGCCAGGGGUUUCAGACUUUUCAGCACUCUGCUCUUGAAACACUGUCUGACGUUGCUGUUCGGUACAUUUAUGACAUCGGCAAGACUGCAAAUUUCUAUGCCAAUCUUUCAGGUAGAACGGAGUGCAAUGCUUUUGAUAUAAUUCAAGGGUUGGAAGAUUUGGGCUUGGCACAGGGGUUUUUGGGUGCUUCAGAUAUUGAGCAUUGCCUUGCAAAUUCAGGCACAGUUAAGGAACUUGUUCAGUAUGUUGAUGAAGCUGAAAAGAUCCCAUUUGCAUAUUCUCUUCCGCAGUUUCCAGUUGCUAUAGAUCGGAAGCUAACUCCAAGUUUUUUACAAAUUGGGGAAGAGCCUCCAGGUGAGCAUAUACCCGCUUGGCUGCCUGCUUUUCCUGAUCCCAGCACUUAUGCUCCGUCAUCUUCUAGGAUUGAGAGAAGUACAGAACCUCCCACGGCUAAGAUUGACCAGGAAAGCCGCAACAGAAAGGUAGAAAGGUCUUUGUUGAACUUACAUCAACGGUUAGCUUGUAGUGGAUUGGAAGGACCCUCCGUAGUCAACCAUGGGGAUGCUACUAAGGCAAAACAAGCAGUUGGAAGUAAUCCGUUUCUUGCUGCACCUCUGCAAUUCGGAGAAAAGGAGGUGUCUCCUGUUCUUCUUCCAGCGAAAGUGAAGCUUUUAAAUGAAGCAACCAUGAGAAAUCCUAGUAUGGAAAAUCAUGGCAGGGAUAAUCAUGUCUCAGUGUUAGAGGCAUUGGCUCCAGAUAUUGAAGCAAUGGAAAUCAGAUUACUUGAUUCUGAAGAAAAAGAAAAAGAGGGUCUUUUGAACAGCAGGCCAGCUGUACAAUUUAAGAUUGGUAUUGGAAGGAAGUCCUUAGGGACAAUGCACGAUUUAAGCCUCCAGAAAAAGAGUUUUGAGGUAACUUCACCAUGGUUUGGGAGGGAAAAUGAGAAGGAUGACAAGAAGAUGAGGGCCGAGAAAAUUCUGAAAGAGUCUAUGGGACACACACAGGAACUGGGUCAUUUGUAAAUUAGGUUUGUUUCAUUAGAAUUUUAUACUUGUUUAUGAGAAUCAUGACAAAUGAUGGUUCCAGGGUAAUCGUUGUCAAGGGCAUAAUGUUUUCUGCAUAGGGCAUUAUAGAUUGGAUACAACAAACCGCAUGCAGAAAUGUUCCCACAUUAAAAAGUUUUUGAGGGCUUUGUUCUCGGUGGCAAUUGAGCUAGAUCUACUGGAAUCCAUUCCCCUUCUUCAGGAUCUCGAGCCUCGUAAUCUGUAGCAAGAAUUUUGAGGAGAAUUC